GUAUCUAGUCUCUGCCGCCAGCCCAUCCCCGCAAAGCUGCAGAAGAACUAAUUGUUCCAUGUCUGAUGUAUGCCAUUAGAGUGAGAGGAACGAUGAAAAAUGCAAAGGAAAAUCCCCGCCUACCUGCACGAGUUUCCCUUUGUGUAUGGAAUGGACCCAAACCUACGUAAAUCAGCUUUAUUGGUAUGCAAGAAAAAAAAAAAAAAAAGUGAGAUUAAAAGAGAACGAUGCCUGGAGAAGAAAAAAAUGGAACCCGAUGAGAGACCGAAGUUAGCUGCUUUGCAGGAGCCGAGCAGCUCAUAUAUGAUUAGCGAGUUACGCAAUAUUUAUAGCACUGCAAAAACAGCGAUUAUCUGGCAUGAUCAGCUCCGCAUGCAAAUUUUGGGCUAAGAAAUUGGAAGUCCUGAUAAUUCAAUGCAACCUUAUUCUCGAGGACUGCCGCGAACUGCCCUCUUUGAAGAAACCACCCACGUAAUAACGACCCUGGAGAGCAACGCAAAACCCAGCCGGCUGCUGCGCCAACUCCGCCAAAUUGCUGGGCUCGCCCGAAGACAGGCAAACUGGCAAGAGAUUCUGCGAGGGGAAAAAAUAAAACACGACAACUACCCACAAAGGGCUUGGUAUUUUUUUAAAGGCAGUAUCUAAAAGCCUCCGUCACCGAGCUACUGCAAAAUCCUUCAUUUCAAGUCUACUAUCUCCAGGUGACC